rnacentral:misc_RNA from 1 species
AUUUUCAAAUGCCUCGGAUGCAUUCCUAAUGUCAAAAAUAGCAUAGGCAACCCCGAAUGCAAAUUUACUCUUUUUACCUUAAGUUGAGUUAUAAUUCGAUAAUUAAUAAAAUUUUCAUAAGCAUAUGAAAUGCAAUAAUUUUAAUCGUAAUAUUAAGAUAAUAUGAUUAAGAACCUCUAGGAAUAUUUAUAGAAUUUUUGAA